GAUGAACGCUGGCGGCGUGCCUAAUACAUGCAAGUCGAACGGAGGACGUAGCAAUACUUCCUCAGUGGCGAACGGGUGAGUAACGCGUUGGUGACCUGCCCCAAAGUGGGGGAUAACAGCCCGAAAGGGUUGCUAAUACCCCAUGUUGUCAUCGGGAUCAGAUGCCUGAUGACCAAAGGAGUGAUCCGCUUUGGGAGGGGCCUGCGUGCCAUCAGCUAGUUGGUAAGGUAAUGGCUUACCAAGGCGAUGACGGCUAGGGGACCUGAGAGGGUGGCCCCCCACAAUGGAACUGAAACACGGUCCAUACACCUACGGGUGGCAGCAGUAGGGAAUAUUGGUAAUGGGCGAAAGCCUGAACCAGCAACGCCGCGUGUGCGAUGAAGGCCUUCGGGUUGUAAAGCACUUUUACAGGGGAUGAGAAAGGACAGUACCCUGUGAAUAAGUCUCGGCUAACUACGUGCCAGCCGCCCGCCGUAAGAC
rnacentral:rRNA from 1 species